AGUGAACGCUGGCGGUAGGCCUAACACAUGCAAGUCGAACGGCAGCACAGUAAGAGCUUGCUCUUACGGGUGGCGAGUGGCGGACGGGUGAGGAAUACAUCGGAAUCUACUUUUUCGUGGGGGAUAACGUAGGGAAACUUACGCUAAUACAGCAUACGACCUACGGGUGAAAGCAGGGGAACUUCGGACCUUGCGCGAUUGAAUGAGCCGAUGUCGGAUUAGCUAGUGGGCGGGGUAAAGGCCCACCAAGGCGACGAUCCGUAGCUGGUCUGAGAGGAUGAUCAGCCACACUGGAACUGAGACACGGUCCAGACUCCUACGGGAGGCAGCAGUGGGGAAUAUUGGACAAUGGGCGCAAGCCUGAUCCAGCCAUACCGCGUGGGUGAAGAAGGCCUUCGGGUUGUAAAGCCCUUUUGUUGGGAAAGAAAAGCAGCAGGUUAAUACCCCGCUGUUCUGACGGUACCCAAAGAAUAAGCACCGGCUAACUUCGUG
rnacentral:rRNA from 1 species